AUUGAACGCUGGCGGCAUGCCUUACACAUGCAAGUCGAACGGCAGCACGGGAGCAAUCCCGGUGGCGAGUGGCGAACGGGUGAGUAAAGUAUCGGAACGUGCCCAGUCGUGGGGGAUAACGUAGCGAAAGUUACGCUAAUACCGCAUACGAUCUAUGGAUGAAAGCGGGGGAUCGCAAGACCUCGCGCGAUUGGAGCGGCCGAUAUCAGAUUAGGUAGUUGGUGGGGUAAAGGCUCACCAAGCCGACGAUCUGUAGCUGGUCUGAGAGGACGACCAGCCACACUGGGACUGAGACACGGCCCAGACUCCUACGGGAGGCAGCAGUGGGGAAUUUUGGACAAUGGGCGAAAGCCUGAUCCAGCCAUGCCGCGUGCAGGAUGAAGGCCUUCGGGUUGUAAACUGCUUUUGUACGGAACGAAAAGAUUUGGCCUAAUAAGCUGAGCUCAUGACGGUACCGUAAGAAUAAGCACCGGCUAACUACGUGCCAGCAGCCGCCGCGG
rnacentral:rRNA from 1 species